rnacentral:rRNA from 1 species
ACAUGCAAGUCGAACGGAAGUCGUUGUAAUGAAAUGGAAAUGGACAGAGAACUUGUUCGAAGAAAGUUGAAGUAGACUUACAACAAUGGCUUUAGUGGCGGACUGGUGAGUAACGCGUAAGGAACCUGCCUUUUAGAGGGGAAUAACAAUGAGAAAUCAUUGCUAAUACCGCAUAUGCCGAGAGAAUCACAUGGUACAAUCGGGAAAGGAGCAAUCCGCUAAAAGAUGGCCUUGCGUCUGAUUAGAUAGUUGGUGGGGUAACGGCCUACCAAGUCGACGAUCAGUAGCCGGACUGAGAGGUUGAACGGCCACAUUGGGACUGAGAUACGGCCCAGACUCCUACGGGAGGCAGCAGUCGGGAAUAUUGCGCAAUGGAGGAAACUCUGACGCAGUGACGCCGCGUAUAGGAAGAAGGUUUUCGGAUUGUAAACUAUUGUCGUUAGGGAAGAGAAAGGACAGUACCUAAGGAGGAAGCUCCGGCUAACUACGUGCCAGCAGCCGCGGUAAUACGUAGGGAGCGAGCGUUAUCCGGAAUUAUUGGGUGUAAAGGGUGCGUAGACGGGAAGAUAAGUUAGUUGUGAAAUCCCUCGGCUUAACUGAGGAACUGCAACUAAAACUGUUUUUCUUGAGUGCAGGAGAGGUAAGUGGAAUUCCUAGUGUAGCGGUGAAAUGCGUAGAUAUUAGGAGGAACACCAGUGGCGAAGGCGACUUACUGGACUGUAACUGACGUUGAGGCACGAAAGUGUGGGGAGCAAACAGGAUUAGAUACCCUGGUAGUCCACACCGUAAACGAUGGAUACUAGGUGUAGGAGAUAUUAAGUCUUCUGUGCCGUCGCAAACGCAAUAAGUAUCCCACCUGGGG